AUAUAUCUGGGGUGUGCGUUGUAUAUGCACUGUGUUGACCGAACAUUUUUAUUUAUAUAUCGGGAUCCUGUCAUGAGUAACUAUGGCAUGCCUUUUCAUUUGGAAGUCAGAAAAUACUUUUGUGGAGCCCACCUGCUUUUAAUGCGGGUUCAAACAAAAUAUAUACUCAGACGGCACCAUCGGAUAUCUU
rnacentral:other from 1 species